rnacentral:rRNA from 1 species
AGUGAACGCUGGCGGCGUGCUUAACACAUGCAAGUCGAACGGUAACAGGAACUAGCUUGCUAGUUUGCUGACGAGUGGCGCACGGGUGAGUAAUAUAUAGUUAAUGUACCCCAAAGACUGGGAUAGCCACUGGAAACGGUGAUUAAUACUAGAUACACCUCUUUAACAUAAGUUAGAGAGGGAAAUGUCUUUUCGUCUUUGGGAUCAGACUAUAUCCUAUCAGUUAGUUGGUGAGGUAAUGGCUCACCAAGGCAAUGACGGGUAGCGGGUUUGUAGAGGAUGAUCCGCCACACUGGUACUGAGACACGGACCAGACUCCUACGGGAGGGCAGCAGUGAGGAAUAUUGCACAAUGGAGGAAACUACUGAUGCAGCAACGCCGCGUGGAGGAUGACGCAUUUCGGUGUGUAAACUCCUUUUAUUGAGUCAAGAAAAUAGACGGUAGCUCAUGAAUAAGCACCGGCUAACUACCGUGCCAGCAGCCGCGGUAAAG